CCUACGGGUGGCAGCAGUGGGGGAUAUUGCACAAUGGGCGAAAGCCUGAUGCAGCGACGCCGCGUGAGGGAAGACGGUCUUCGGAUUGUAAACCUCUGUCUUUGGGGACGAAGAUGACGGUACUCACUGAGGAAGCUCCGGCUAACUACUUGCCAGCAGCCGCGGUAAUACGUAGGGAGCGAGCGUUGUCCGGAUUUACUGGUUGUAAAGGGAGCACAGGCGGGGAUGCAAGUUGGAGGGUAAAACUAUCGGCUCAACCGGUAAUUGCAACCAAAACUGAAACUCUUGAGUGAAGUAGAGGCAAGCGGAAUUCCUAGUGUAGCGGUGAAAUGCGUAGAUAUUAGGAGGAACACCAGUGGCGAAGGCGGCCUGCUGGGCUUUAACUGACGCUGAGGCUCGAAAGCGUGGGGAGCAAACAGGAUUAGAUACCCGUGUAGUC
rnacentral:rRNA from 1 species